rnacentral:rRNA from 1 species
ACGCUGGCGGCGCGCCUAACACAUGCAAGUCGAACGAGCGAGAGAGAGCUUGCUUUCUCGAGCGAGUGGCGAACGGGUGAGUAACGCGUGAGGAACCUGCCUCAAAGAGGGGGAUAACAGUUGGAAACGACUGCUAAUACCGCAUAAGCCCACGGUGCCGCAUGGCACAGAGGGAAAAGGAGCAAUCCGCUUUGAGAUGGCCUCGCGUCCGAUUAGCUAGUUGGUGAGGUAACGGCCCACCAAGGCAACGAUCGGUAGCCGGACUGAGAGGUUGAACGGCCACAUUGGGACUGAGACACGGCCCAGACUCCUACGGGAGGCAGCAGUGGGGAAUAUUGCACAAUGGGGGAAACCCUGAUGCAGCGACGCCGCGUGGAGGAAGAAGGUCUUCGGAUUGUAAACUCCUGUUGUUGGGGAAGAUAAUGACGGUACCCAACAAGGAAGUGACGGCUAACUACGUG